rnacentral:rRNA from 1 species
CCUACGGGCGGCAGCAGUGGGGAAUAUUGCACAAUGGGGGAAACCCUGACGCAGCGACGCCGCGUGAGGGAAGAAGUAUUUCGGUACGUAAAGCUCUAUCAGCAGGGAAGAAAAUGACGGUACCUGACUAAGAAGCACCGGCUAACUACGAGCCAGCAGCCGCGGGAAUACGUAGGGGGCAAGCGUUAUCCGGAUUGACUGGGUGUACAGGGAGCGUAGACGGCCAGACAAGUCAGAAGUGAAAGCCCAGGGCUCAACCCUGGGACUGCUUUUGAAACUGCCGGGCUGGAGUGCAGGAGAGGUAAGCGGAAUUCCUAGUGUAGCGGUGAAAUGCGUAGAUAUUAGGAGGAACACCAGUGGCGAAGGCGGCUUACUAGACCGUAACUGACGUUGAGGCUCGAAAGCGUGGGGAGCAAACAGGAUUAGAUACCCGGGUAGUC